GACGAACGCUGGCGGCGUGCUUAACACAUGCAAGUCGAACGGUGAAGCACCUUCCUUUUGGUGGGUGUGGAUGAGUGGCGAACGGGUGAGUAACACGUGAGUAACCUGCCCCCUUCUUCUGGAUACCAGCAUGAAAGUGUGGCUAAUACGGGAUAUUCUGUGCCUGCUGCAUGGUGGGUGUUGGAAAGAUGCGCAUUUGGGUGUUGUUGUGUGGGGAUGUGGUCGCGGCCUAGCAGCUUGUUGGUGGGGUGAUGGCCUACGAUGGCGGUAACGGGUAGCCGGAAGGAGAGGGUGGACGGUCACAGUGGGACUGAGAAACGGCACAGACUCAUACGGGAGGCACCCGUGGGGCAUAGUGCAGAAGGAGCGGGAGCCUGAUGCAGCGACGCCGAGUGAGGGAGGGGCGCCUUCGGGUUGUAUACCUCUCUCGCCAGUGAAGCAGGCCUGUCCCUUGUGGGUGGGUUGACGGUAGCAGGAUAAUAAGCGCCGGCUAACUACGUG
rnacentral:rRNA from 1 species